CUUUCGGAGGAUUUGGCAUUGAAACAGCACAUAGAUAUUGGUUAUCUGAAAUCAACGAUGCCACAGAAAACUUUGCUAAAAAAGUUGGUUCUGGGGGCUAUGGGACAGUGUAUUAUGGAAAGUUGAAAAACGGAAAAGAAAUUGCCGUCAAAGUUCAAACCAAUGAUUCUUGUCAGGGAAACAGACAGUUCUCAAGUGAGGUUUCUCUACUUUCAAGAAUACAUCACAGAAAUCUGGUUGAAUUUCUCGGUUACUGCUAGCAAGAAGGCAAAAGCAUUCUUGUAUAUGAGUUUAUGCAUAAUGGAGCACUGAAAGAGCAUCUUCAUGGCUCCUUGUCUCAGGAAAGUCCCAUCAGUUGGAUAAACAAACUUAACUCUUUGUAUAAAUCCUUUCACACUUGAUACGCAUAUUGGUGUAAUAAGCAAACUUAACUCUUUGUAUAAACAUGUCAAAGGUCCAG